rnacentral:rRNA from 1 species
UACGUAGGGGGCAAGCGUUGUCCGGAAUUAUUGGGCGUAAAGCGCGCGCAGGCGGCUUCUUAAGUCAGGUGUGAAAGCCCACGGCUCAACCGUGGAGGGCCACUUGAAACUGGGAGGCUUGAGUGCAGGAGAGGAGAGCGGAAUUCCACGUGUAGCGGUGAAAUGCGUAGAGAUGUGGAGGAACACCUGUGGCGAAGGCGGCUCUCUGGCCUGUAACUGACGCUGAGGCGCGAAAGCGUGGGGAGCGAACAGG